GGAUUAUGCUUUGUUUUGUUGGAAGCCAGUGAUUUGGACAAAAGUGUGAGUCAGUUAUGAGGAGUCUGAACAGCUGGAGGCCCAGUGGCUUGUCUGCUAGCUCUUUAUGAUGAGCUGCCAUAUCAGAAACUGAAGCUCCGGGGAUGUCUUUGGCCUACAAUGCAACGCAUCUGAGUAGUUACCAAGAGAGGAAAGGGAGAGAAUAAAGAAAUGCCUUUCUUUCCUUUGAGCCUUGCCAUUCUCUGGCAGCACAGCUCUGCAUGCAGGAAACAAUUUGUGUCUACGCAAAUCAAACUGGGAGGUUAACCUUUCAUUAACAGAACUGGGGCACUGGUACCUGCCAAGUUCUCCCUCAGGCCACAGAGUGGAAGUUUGUCUCCAGGAGAUACCUCACAAGCUGGAAUUAAUGCCACAGUUGCUCAUUGAUCCUUAACACAGUUUUAGCCAUGAGACAAGACAUCCGGUGUGAUUUCAGCAAGCCCAUAUGGUUCUCGAAUACUUUUCCCAAGAAAAAAUGAGAUGGAUGAAUUGUUUGCAUCCGUCAGACAAACUCCAACAGAGAAAGAGAUGGACCAACUCUAUCUUCAACACUGCCAGCACUGCCACCUGCAGAGAUUACUGCCUCCUGAAUGGGAAGAAUCCCUUCCUGCCAGAAUCUGGGACACAGGUGCAAAGGCUUGGUAUGUACUGAAGUUGUUUAUUCUUUGUUCAAAGUGGAAUUGUAACUGUUACUUUAUGAUGCUUUUGACCAAGUGGAAAAGGUGCUCUCUCCUGUGAGAUGUCUUAGCCUGUCACAGAGCCUUUUUGCCAGGAUUUGAGGAAGCCUGGCUUUAACCCUGGCAGGGUUCCACUCCGCGAGCUGGAA